UAAUACGAAGGGUGCGAGCGUUAUUCGGAGUGAUUGGGCGUAAAGGGUGCGUAGGCUGUGCGUUAAGUCAACUGUCAAAUUUCCCAGCUUAACUGGGAGCCGGCGGUUGAAACUGGCGUGCUUGAGGGUGGAAGAGAGAAGUGGAAUUCUCGGAGUAGCGGUAAAAUGCGUAGAUCUCGAGAGGAACACCGAUGGCGAAGGCAGCUUCUUGGUCCACACCUGACGCUGAUGCACGAAAGCGUGGGGAGCAAACAGGAUUAGAUACCCUGGUAGUCCACGCUGUAAACGAUGGUCACUAGACGUUGGUUCCGCUCUGCGGGAUCAGUGUCGUAGCUAACGCGUUAAGUGACCCGCCUGGGGAGUACGGUCGCAAGAUUA
rnacentral:rRNA from 1 species